CCCCUAGAUGUUCUGGGCCGCACGCGCGCUACACUGAACAGUUCAACAAGUCUCAACCUUGGCCGAUAGGUCUGGGUAAUCUUUGAACGCUGUUCGUGAUUGGGAUAGACCUUUGCAAUUAUGGGUCUUCAACGAGGAAUUCCUAGUAAACGCAAGUCAUCAGCUUGCAUUGAUUACGUCCCUGCCCUUUGUACACACCGCCCGUCGCACCUACCGAUUGAAUGGUCCGGUGAAAUCUCGGGACGGCGGCUUGGUCGCUUGCGUCCGACUGCUGAAACUUGAUUAAACCAUAUCAUUUAGAGGAAGGUGAANUCGUAACA
rnacentral:rRNA from 1 species